GAAAGUAGUUAGAGCAACGCGUCAUGAGAGACGGGUCGCUUUGUUUAUUCUGCAUGUAAUCUUGUCAGAAGAAAAUAAAGAAAGGAAUUUAUGGCUGGCUGCCGGGAGUAUUUUUCUGCUAAGUGCAGCAACGCAUGCAGCUGGCUAGCUGACAGGAAUGCACAGCUUCUCCUUUUGCACAUUAUCCUAUUGUAACUGAACUGUUUUUUAACUUCCAUUAUGUAAGAAUAAUAGAAUCACAGAUUUGGAAGGUAACCCAAGGGUCAUCUAGUUCAAUUCCCUGCAAUGCAGGCAGUGCCACUUAAAUAUGCCUUUUUUGUAAAUCUAAACACCAAGGUUUGUUCAAUGAGUAUUAUAUGCAUUAUGCACUAUCCAUUCUGUAUGUCAGAUUCUCCCACAAAAUAUUUCAAUGGAUCACGUAACUCUUCCAGUGUUUGAAUUAAAACAACCAAAGUGAAAAUGACAUCCCAAACUCGUAGGAGCUCUUUUAAAUGUGUCCUACCAAAGAAUUGCAAAAAACUUUGGAAGAACCUUUCACCCAAAGGCUGGGGAGGGAUAUUGCCUCCAAAAGCAGGCAAAAGAUCACAGGGGCAUUGGCAUGAAACUGAUUUACUAACCAUAUUUUUCCAAUUUGCCUCAGGGCCUGUAAGUGAUUGCAAGCUUCCAUCCUUCUCAGACUUCUUCUGAAACUAUGUGAGCAAACACACUCUUUUGCUUUUGUGUUCAAGUGCUUAAAAGCCUUCUAAAAAUAAUCAGAUCAUGUUAAAUGAUAUGCACAUCUCUAGAUAUGCACAUUUCCCAAUUUGCCUUCACUAAUAUGCUGUUUUCAGGUCAAGUCAGUGCAUAUUAUGUACAGUUGUUCAACAUGUCUACGAUGAUGAACACCAUAAUUAUUUUAUUUAGAAUGUACACUUUCUAUAAAGAAGCUGGAUGAACAUUAUACACAGUUUGGGCUUACUGUGCACAGUAAUGAAUAGUUUUGCUAGAAACACCACAGUCAUUAACUUGAAAGGAAAAAUGGGAUUAUUAAAUUGUGCUUAUAAUAUGUGAUUAUUACUUCCUUAUGUGUGAGCAUUGUGAAAUCAGGGCUCACUUCAUCUUUCUUCUCCCCCUCUUCUACCCCCAAAUAUAACUGCUCAACUGAAAAAGAAAACGAUGUUCAGUGCCAGAACAUUGUUGUAUAUUUAACUAAAACAUGCAGUAAAGUAACAUUUUGCAGAGGUCUAUAUUGUUUUGUAACAUCUAUAGAUCAACUUUCUACGUAAUAAGUAGGAAAAACAUGACUUUCUGUUUCAUGACAGUUUUCCCCAAUGCAUUUGAUCGCCUCUUGUCUUAGCAAACCAUAGAAACAAAGUCUGACAUCUGGUGUUGUCGGUCCACCAGCGUAAUGGACUUCAGUCUUCCUUUUCUUCUGCUGCCCCAUGUGAGCCCAAAAUUGCUCAGGAGAGUUAGGGAGACUCCCUGGAGCAGACUUGUGGAGAUGCAGGGGCCGGCAGGAGGAGAAAAGAAGAAGAAGAAGAAGAAGAAGAAGAAGAAGAAGAAGAAGAAGAAGAAGAGUUUGAGGAGGAGGAGGAGUUUGGAUUUGAUAUCCCGCUUUAUCACUACCCAAAGGAGUCUCAAAGCGGCUAACAUUCUCUUUUCCCUUCCUCCCCACAACAAACACUCUGUGAGGUGAGUGGGGCUGAGAGACUUCAGAGAAGUGUGACUGGCCCAAGGUCACCCAGCAGUUGCAUGUGGAGGAGCGGAGACGCGAACCCGGUUCCCCAGAUUACGAGACUGCCGCUCUUAACCACAACACCACACUGGCUCUCAAAUAAGCAGAGAAUGGGAAGGCGGUCUGUGUGAACGUAUUCAUAGCCUGUCUUUCUUCCAUCAUGGAAUCCAAGGCAGUCCAUGUGCAGGCGGUUUGCAGGCAGCUGCUUCUACAAGCCCUCUCCAGUCCCAGACCUGCUUAGCUUCAGCAAGGUGAUGGCCUCAUUCAGGCAACCCCCCCCCCCCCCGUGUGUGUAAACUCCAGGCACUACAAAGUAGCAUUUAUCUAGAGGUGAACUUAUUUUAGAAAAAUCCUGUAUCAAGGGCACUGUAAAAGUGCAAAUGAUAUACAUUAAGGAAAGGAUAUCUGGUACAAAAUAAAAUGAAGUGGAAUAAAUUCAAAUGAAUUUGUCAAACUAUUAAAAGUCAUUGAUAGCCAAUCCAUCAGUAUAUCUGCCCCCAUCCGAUUUUGAAAUGCAGUACAGUUGUACCUUGGAUCGCAAACGCUUUGUGAUUCAAACGUUUUGGGUCCUGAACGCCGCAAACUGUUCCGGUUUACGAACGUUCUUUGGAACCUGAAAGUCCAAUGCGGCAGCCAAUCUAAAGCUGCACCUUGGUUUACGAACGUUUUGGAAGUCAAACAGACUUCCAGAACAGAUUCUGUUUGACUUCCAAGGUACCACUGUAGUAUUAUUUUUGAAGGUGUGUGUUUGUGCAUAACGGGGAAUGUGUGUAAAUUCCACCAGAACAGCUGCUUACACUUCGUUGUGUAUUCCUGUUAACCUGAUAUGCAAUAGCAAAUGUAACAGACAGUUCCAAAACACAACAGAGAUGCACAUUUCUGCACAUCAGUGGUAGUUACUUUAACUGAUUCCAUGGCAAGAGACAAGACAGGUCGUUCUGCUUCAACAGUCUUUAAAAUUAGAAACUAGGUGAACAGUUUCCAGAGCAAAGUGACAGUAUCAAAAAUCAAAUAAGUAACCAAAGCAGCUGAGAGUUAGAAGACAGUGAAAAUCAGUGUUGGUCCAAGACAUUUUGGGCCCUGAGCGAACCACAAAAUGGCACCCCCCCCACCUUGCCAGGGGAGAAGGGCUGAGUGAAGAUCUACAUCAGGGAUAAGAGAGUAGAGAUCUCCCUUAGGAACAAGGGUGGGGUGGGACCAGCAGUGCCUCCUAUUUGCCAGGAGGUCACUGCAGAGACUGCAGCAGGGGUGGGGUUGCUGAGGAGGCACAGAUCCAGCCUCCAAGAAGCACAGCAGCCUGUUGCUGCAGUAGCAGUGGGCAAUGCAUUCAUUGGAGACUGGGUCUACUGCCCCUAUGGAUCCUGCCGCCUGAGGCAGUUGCUUCAGCUUGACUCAUGAGUGGGCUGGCCCUGGUGAAAAUGAUACUCCACAUUAUUUAAGGAGGGGCAGAAAAUAACAUCAAGAUCUAUUUGGCAGGGGAAGAAACCAAGAAUUAAAUUUAAAUUGUUAACUGAUACUAGAGAAAGAGGGGGCUUCGCCUUGCCAGACUUGAAGUUACACUAUGAAGCAUCCUGCCUCUGUUGGUUGAAGGAAAGAAUGUUGUUAGAAAAUACAGAUUUGUUGGACUUAGAAGGAUUUGAUAAUAGAUUUGGUUGGCACGCAUAUUUAAGGUAUGACAAAACAAAAGUGCAUAAAGGAUUUGGAAACCACAUAUUCCGAAGAUCUCUAUAUCAAAUAUGGGAUAGCUAUAAAAACCUAUUAGAAUGUAAAACACCAUGGUGGUUGUCACCUUUGGAAGCAAUAAAUGUAAAGAAGAUAAAUAUGAGUAAAAAUUGGGCCGCAUAUGAAAAGUUAGU